AUUGAACGCUGGCGGCAGGCCUAACACAUGCAAGUCGAACGGUAACAGGAAACAGCUUGCUGUUUCGCUGACGAGUGGCGGACGGGUGAAUAAUGUCUGGGAAACUGCCUGAUGGAGGGGGAUAACCACUGGAAACGGUAGCUAAUACCGCAUAACGUCGCAAGACCAAAGAGGGGGACCUUCGGGCCUCUUGCCAUCGGAUGUGCCCAGAUGGGAUUAGCUAGUAGGUGGGGUAACGGCUCACCUAGGCGACGAUCCCUAGCUGGACUGAGGGGAUGACCAGCCACACUGGACCUGAGACACGGUCCAGACUCCUACGGGAGGCAGCAGUGGGGAAUAUUGCACAAUGGGCGCAAGCCUGAUGCAGCCAUGUCGCGUGUAUGAAGAAGGCCUUCGGGUUGUAAAGUACUUUCAGCGGGGAGGAAGGGAGUAAAGUUAAUACCUUUGCUCAUUGACGUUACCCGCAGAAGAAGCACCGGCUAACUCCGUGCCAGCAGCCGCCGUAA
rnacentral:rRNA from 1 species